CCGACAACCGCAGCUCCCAUUGCAACUGCAGCCCCGACAACCGCAGCUCCCAUUGCAACUGCAGCCCCAACAACCGCAGCUCCUAUUGCAACUGCAGCACCGACAGCCGCAGCUCCCAUUGCAACUGCAGCCCCGACAACCGCAGCUCCCAUUGCAACUGCAGCCCCGACAACCGCAGCUCCUAUUGUUCCAGCCACUAGUAUCGCUCAAACCACUAGCACCAGAGCACCUACUGCACGUCCAACAGCCACUGUUCCAUCUACCACAGCCUCUACAAAUCCACCAUCAGGAGAUGAGGGCGUCCUACGCCUGAAUUUCAGGCUGUUUAGAACCUUUACAGAACCAUUGGCAAACCAGAGCUCCACUGAAUUCAAGCAGCUAUCACAGAAUGUCACCACGGAGUUGAAUCGUGUGUACGGGAAUGCCUUUGGGCGAAGAUACCGCCGGAGUAAUGUCGCAAGUUUCAGCCGUGGACCUUCUUUCCCCCGAGCAGAUACUGUACAGGUGGAGACAAACCUGAUCUUCCAGAACGAAACUGUUGUUCCAAACGCUACCCAGGCAGCAACAGUCCUCAGGCAGGCUAUUAAUAAUUCAACCACCUUUCUAGACGCUGUUCCAGGCAGCAUUAAUGCAGAAAAUCCGAACACUACCACAACAACAACUAUCAGCGCUACAACAAGCGGUGCCAUGGCAACAAACAAACCCCAGGAAGUCGUCACUUUUCUGUUUCCUCUUAUUCUGGUCAUUUACUCUCUGUCAACAGACAUGAAGCUGCCUCAUUUUUAGCCAGAGAAAUACGAGCCUUUAUGAUUUUGUACCCUUGGUGCUACUCUGUGAUGGCUAAUUUGAUUUCUGGAAGAGUGCCUCUCUAGAUUAACAUUCAGCUUGCUCGUUAUGAUCAUCACUUGUACUACAAGGAAAAGAGCUUUCAAACUUGGAAGCCAGAUGGAUAUACAAAUUAAACUGCUCCUUCACCCA